ACUCAAAUGAAUUGACGGGGGCCCGCACAAGCGGAGGAACAUGUGGUUUAAUUCGAUGAUACGCGAGGAACCUUACCCGGGCUCGAACGUGAGAGGAAUUAUGUGGAAACAUGUAAGUCAGCAAUGACCUCUUACGAGGUGCUGCAUGGUUGUCGUCAGCUCGUGCCGUGAGGUGUCGGCUUAAGUGCCAUAACGAGCGCAACCCCUAUCAUUAGUUGCCAGCGGGUUAAGCCGGGGACUCUAAUGAAACUGCCAGCGUAAGCUGUGAGGAAGGUGGGGAUGACGUCAAAUCAGCACGGCCCUUACGUCCGGGGCCACACACGUGUUACAAUGGAUGGUACAGAGGGCAGCUACUGGGCGACCAGAUGCUAAUCUUCAAAGCCAUUCUCAGUUCGGAUUGGAGUCUGCAACUCGACUCCAUGAAGCUGGAUUCGCUAGUAAUCGCAUAUCAGCCAUGAUGCGGUGAAUACGUUCCCGGGCCUUGUACACACCGCCCGU
rnacentral:rRNA from 1 species